UUGUCUUUCCCCUUCGCCACCUGUUCAUCUAUAAAAAAAAUAAUUAAACGAGGUAAAAUUACAUCCCAAAAAGAUAUCUUCAUGUAAUAAACUUCUAGGAAUACUUUAGAUACAACAUUACCAGGUACAUAUAAGUCUUAUGAAUUACCGAUGUGUAUUUUGAAGUCACAUACUUUUAGUCUUUUGAUGUAUGAUGUGUUAUACAUUCUGCUUUAGAUAUGAAUACACUUUUAUGUUAUGAAAUAAAAUUAUAUGCUUUUCAUGGAGAGUGAUUAUAUAUGUAUACGAGUUAUGUUAAUUAAUUAGGUUUUACCUUUGAGCGUUGGGGUGUGUUACACUAUCACUAUGAUAAUACUAUUAGGUGAUUAGAUGGUAGUUCUACCAAGAGAUCUUUAAGAUAACACCCAAAGAGUAAAACUCAAUCAUCUAUUCUCAUCCCUUCAACUCUAUUACUCAAUGAUAAUUUUAUUAGAUUAUAUGUCAAGACCUAGACCAUAUGUGUCCUUAAACAUCUCUACAUCAUUUUUAAUUAAACAAUUAUAACAACAACUUUAUAAUAUAUUUAACAUGUUUAUCCUUUUUCGAUCCUUGAUUUUUUUAUUACCAGUUAGUGUAUCUCUGUAAUCCUUUUUAAUUAUAUGUGUGUGUAUGUGUGUGUGUGUGUUUUUUUUUUUUACCAUUGAAAACAAAUAUUUAGCAUGUUUUUAGAGCUAUUGAAGAAAUUGCAAGUUCUAAGAAAUAUAUAAAAGUGUAAGAGAAAUUAUAAGAGUAAGAACACUAUCAUGAUUAAAGAAAGUGAAAGGUUCAUGCAUAAUAGAGAAUUAUUUUCUACCUUAACGAAUUAAGAACUUUACAAUAACCUUUAAUACAUGCCAGUUUUCCAAAAGGUGCAUUUUUAUAGCAAUCAUCAGUAAGUAUACACUCUCCUGUAAAUAUUACUAAAAGUGAAUGAAAUAUUGUAUACAAAAUAAACAGAAAAUGAGAAUAAUUAUAUUAACUAUUAGACUUUAAGCUGUCGACGACAACAAGACACAAGGAAACCAAAAAGAUAACAAUAUAAACGAAUUUGAGAGUUGCAACCAUUUUUUCCACCUUUGUAACAUAUAUAAAAUGCGUUGAUCACAUUAUAUAGUAAAAACAUAUUUCUAUGUUUAUUUCAAUUAAAUCAUACUCAAAAUUAGAAUAAUUAUUAAUGUCUCUAAAGUUUGUCAUAUCUCUAAAAUUCAUUGAUGAAUCAUAUUUGUCCCUUUAGCUCGUAUAAUAGAUCUCACAAAACAAUCUUGCUUGUAAUUGGAGUUCAUUCUUGUUUGGUGGAUCAACAUUCACCAAUACAGCAGUUUAAAUAUAUUUGCCAACCUUUUAUUUUUAUCUUUUAUUUUUUUAUCUACCCUUUCAUAAUAGAGAGAAGAAAACCAACAUUGUAUUAUGCUGGUAUGAGUGGAAUUGGACUCAUAUUUUAGCAAAAGUGUUUGAUGAAAUACUAGAUAAAAAGUAAAAAAUAAUAACGAAAAAUGAAGAAAUAUUUAAAAUACAUUCUAAGAUAAGCUAUUUAAACAAAUUUUUCAUUUGAAGCUUCUUUAAAAAUUCUUUGUUAAUAAAAUUAUAACAAAAAGAUGUUACACUAUAAAAAUCUAUUUAAAAACAAACUAUAACAAAUGGCUCAUAAUGUUUAUUGCACGUUAACAAGCUUCCACGUCUAUUCCAAAUCCAUUUAUUUGCUUCUCCAAGAAAUAAAGGUCACACCUUUUGGUAUAAAAGAGGAGAAGGAGGGAGUCACACGACCUUUAGAUGCUAACCGGUGUUCCAAAUAACUAAUUAAAGAAACAAAUAUAAUAUAUAUUGUAUUAAAAAUUGUUUAACAAUCUUUUAAAAAUAAAUAAAGUGUCUUUUUCAAUUUAGAAUUUUCUUUUUUGAUUUUCUUAACCCGUGCACCGAACUUUUUUUAAUUUACCUUCUAAUCUUAAAAUAGCAUUAUGAUCCUAUGAUUGAUAUUAAACUAUUUUAUCACUCACAAUAAUCACUCCUUUUAUUGGACACACACUCACUCUCUCUAUAAUAUAAUAUGUACUAGUAUAAUGUUUUGGCUAUUAUUUUUUUUCUUGAAAUUAACCACCACUGUUUUUUCCUCUCCUUUUUUUUUUUGGUUACCCUCUCCUUUUAUUUGAAUAAGUGGUCAUCCAGGUAUAUUUGUUUGUUGUGUUUUUAAGUUUUCAUUGUUUUUAGUAUGGUGCCGUGUUUAUUCGUGGACUUGUGUGAGGUUGUGUUUGGCCGUCGUCUUAAGUGACGUUUGUUGGUAUUUCCGUUAUAGUACGGUGUUCAUUGAUUUAGAUUGACAUAUUCAUUUCAACUCGUUACAGAUUUAAUGAAGACUUAAGUGUCAAUGUUGCAAAUCCGAAAGUAUAAACAUUUCAAUUACUUUUAUUUUGUCAUAUUUGUAGGCAUUAUCAUGUUGCCGUUGUAUGCUAUUAAUCCAGAUGUUGCUUCAAUUUGUAACAAUUUUGAAACAGUAAUGAUGCAUGUAUUUG
rnacentral:lncRNA from 1 species